rnacentral:rRNA from 1 species
UACGAAGGAUCCAAGCGUUGUCCGGAUUUACUGGGUUUAAAGGGUGCGUAGGCGGACUUUUAAGUCAGUGGUGAAAUAUGGCAGCUCAACUGUCAAGGUGCCAUUGAUACUGCGGAGCUUGAGUACAGAUGAGGUAGGCGGAAUUGACGGUGUAGCGGUGAAAUGCUUAGAUAUCGUCAAGAACACCUAUAGCGAAGGCAGCUUACUAGGCUGUAACUGACGCUGAGGCACGAAAGUGUGGGGAUCAAACAGG